GCCCGGUUAGCUCAGCUGGUUAGAGCGUCGUACUAAUAUUGUGGGCUUCCACGGUCCACUAUAUCAUGUCAUGCGAAGGUCAACAGUUCAAUCCUGUUACUGGGCA